UUGAAUUCCGCAGGUCCCACCUGAAUAUCCAAGUUCACUGCACCUAUCGUGUCUCUCUGCACUCCAUCGAAAGCUCUCACAUUGACCUGGUUUUGUUGAACCUUUCCCAAGUCGAAUUUCAGUUGCUUGAGAGUCGAAAGAGGACAUAUGUUGAGACCGGACCCAUCGUCGACCAAAACACGAUUUAUAACUUUGUCCUGACAUUUGAUGGUGAC
rnacentral:lncRNA from 1 species